rnacentral:lncRNA from 1 species
AUUCUAAAGAAGCUAUCAGUUGAAUAGAAAAUAUGAUAUACUUUAUUUUGAAUUCAAAAAUUUAAUAUGUUUUAAAGGUUGCAUAAUUUAAAAUAAAACAAAAACAUUCUAACCCAUAGGAAGCCAAAGAAAGUGAAAGGAUCCUAGCAAGUUUCCUGAACACAUCAACUUCAGGGUUAUGGCCCACCACAAGGGAUAUUCUCAAGGGUUGAGCAUUGGAUUCCUGUUAGCUACUGCCUACUCUUUUCACUUAAGAAGAAAUGUUUAUUUGUGAGAACAUUAUACAAGCCAUCUUUUCCUUUCAGCACCAUCUUCACACCACACAACUUCCAGGAUUAUCUCCUUCCAACCACCAGAGUCACAUCCUGCAGGUAAGGUUGUAUCCAUUGGUGACUUCUGUACCCAGUCAUAAAACAUCACUACAAUAAGGCCAGAAAUGGAGUCUUUACUGAGUAGUCUAGUUCUGGAACAUAACUAUGAGUUAGAAUGAUCCCAUGCAAUAGAAAGGUUGCACUUUGCCUCCAGGUUAGCAUAGUUUUCUUUUUCUUUUUAAAGAUACAUACCAAAGGUAAAUAUUUAUACAGAUCCUCUUACUCCUAAAUGGUCCAGUGGUUUGCUUUGUGGCAUCUGAAUUAUAAUUAGUGGAAAUUGAUUCAGAUAUCUAGAAGAAUGUUGAUCAAUAUGAAUAGCUGAAGAACUCUUUGACUCUUAUGUUUUGCUUUCAACACUAUUUCAAUGGCAAGUGGAAAUGGAUGAUUCUAGUUUUGCAAGCUUUCUUUUAUCAUGAACCAUAAAUCUCUACCUAAUAUUCCUUAAUAAAUUGGGGUACAUAGGACUCU